AGUGAACGCUGGCGGUAGGCCUAACACAUGCAAGUCGAACGGCAGCACAGUAAGAGCUUGCUCUUACGGGUGGCGAGUGGCGGACGGGUGAGGAAUACAUCGGAAUCUACUUUUUCGUGGGGGAUAACGUAGGGAAACUUACUCUAAUACCGCAUACGCCCUACGGGUGAAAGCAUGGGAUCUUCGGACCUUGCGCGAUUGAAUGAGCCGAUGUCGGAUUAGCUAGUUGGCGGGGUAAAGGCCCACCAAGGCGACGAUCCGUAGCUGGUCUGAGAGGAUGAUCAGCCACACUGGAACUGAGACACGGUCCAGACUCCUACGGGAGGCAGCAGUGGGGAAUAUUGGACAAUGGGCGCAAGCCUGAUCCAGCCAUACCGCGUGUGUGAAGAAGGCCUUCGGGUUGUAAAGCCCUUUUGUUGGGAAAGAAAAGCAGCAGGUUAAUACCCCGCUGUUCUGACGGUACCCAAAGAAUAAGCACCGGCUAACUUCGUG
rnacentral:rRNA from 1 species